rnacentral:rRNA from 1 species
UACGGGGGGGGCAAGCGUUGUUCGGAAUUACUGGGCGUAAAGGGCUCGUAGGCGGCCAACUAAGUCGGACGUGAAAUCCCUCGGCUUAACCGGGGAACUGCGUCCGAUACUGGAUGGCUUGAGUUCGGGAGAGGGAUGCGGAAUUCCAGGUGUAGCGGUGAAAUGCGUAGAUAUCGUGAGGAACACCGGUGGCGAAGGCGGCAUCCUGGACCGACACUGACGCUGAGGAGCGAAAGCCAGGGGAGCAAACGGG